rnacentral:misc_RNA from 1 species
AGCGGCCGGGGCUCUGGAUUCUCGGCAAGCAGGCUAUUGAUGAUGACUGCAACCAAACAGGGCAGAUGGUUGCUGGAUUGCUCAAGUGGCCACAAGGAACCUUUGCCUCAAAGGUCAUAUUGGACAAAGAAAAACAGGUAGCAACAGUGGAAAGAGAGGUUGAUGGUGGUCUUGAGACAAUCUGUCUUGAUCUACCUGCCGUGAUCACCACGGAUUUGAGAUUAAAUCAGCCAAGAUACGCAACACUCCCCAACAUAAUGAAA